UACGUAGGGGGCAAGCGUUGUCCGGAUUUAUUGGGCGUAAAGAGCGUGUAGGCGGCCACACAGGUUUGCUGUGAAAACUCGAGGCUCAACCUCGAGCUGUCGGUGGAAACCGUGUGGCUAGAGUCCGGAAGAGGAGAGUGGAAUUCCCGGUGUAGCGGUGAAAUGCGCAGAUAUCGGGAAGAACACCCGUGGCGAAGGCGGCUCUCUGGGACGGUACUGACGCUGAGACGCGAAAGCGUGGGGAGCGAACAGG
rnacentral:rRNA from 1 species